ACUGGGGUAGCUCAGUUGGGAGAGCAUGAGACUCUUAAUCUCAGGGUCAUGGGUUUGAGCCCUGCGUUGGGUG
rnacentral:tRNA from 1 species